AACAAAAAAAAGCUCUGUUAGGAUUUGUCUAGCAGGUUUUCUGAUCUGCACCAGAAAGCCCUA
ensembl:snRNA U7 U7 small nuclear RNA